GCACAAUGUGGGCACUUGAUGAAUAAUUGUUGAAUAAUAUAACCACAAGUCAUUGCUUUGAAGUUCUGUUUGGGUAAGCAUUCCAUAGAGCUGAGUGUUACCUUGGGAACCACAUAUGAACUCUUACUUUGAGCAAAGACAGGUGCUGAGUAGCGUCUAUACAUGAGGUCUAACUCCCUUGACAAGAAGUGGAUGGACUGCAUUGUCCUGGUCUCAAGGAACAAAGGGCAGUGAACUCAGUGCCCAGAAAGGGUGUGGAUUGUCACUGAUAGGUGAAGUUUCCCUGGCUUGGAAAGAUCAUGGUUGGUGAAUUACCUCUUUUGUCAUAAAUGCAUCACACUGCUGGAAGG
rnacentral:lncRNA from 1 species